rnacentral:rRNA from 1 species
GACGAACGCUGGCGGCGUGCUUAACACAUGCAAGUCGAACGGAAAGGCCCUGCUUUUGUGGGGUGCUCGAGUGGCGAACGGGUGAGUAACACGUGAGUAACCUGCCCUUGACUUUGGGAUAACUUCAGGAAACUGGGGCUAAUACCGGAUAGGAGCUCCUGCUGCAUGGUGGGGGUUGGAAAGUUUCGGCGGUUGGGGAUGGAUUCGCGGCUUAUCAGCUUGUUGGUGGGGUAGUGGCUUACCAAGGCUUUGACGGGUAGCCGGCCUGAGAGGGUGACCGGCCACAAUGGGACUGCGAUACGGCCCAGACUCCUACGGGAGGCAGAAGUGGGGAAUAUUGCACAAUGGGCGGAAGCCUGAUGCAGCAACGCCGCGUGCGGGAUGACGGCCUUCGGGUUGUAAACCGCUUUCGCCUGUGACGAAGCGUGAGUGACGGUAAUGGGUAAAGAAGCACCGGCUAACUACGUG